ACUUAGUGGCAGACGGGUGAGUAACAUGUGGGUAUCUACCCUUUGGCCUGGAAUAACACGAGGAAACUUGUGCUAAUACCGGAUAAGUCUUUACGGAGAAAGCUUUAUGCACCAUUGGAUGAGCCCGCACUUGAUUAGUUUGUUGGUAGGGUAAUGGCCUACCAAGACUAUGAUCAAUAGCUGAUUUGAGAGGAUGAUCAGCCACAUUGGGACUGAGACACGGCCCAAACUCCUACGGGAGGCAGCAGUGGGGAAUCUUGCACAAUGGAGGAAACUCUGAUGCAGCGAUGCCGCGUGAGUGAAGAAGGCCUUUGGGUUGUAAAGCUCUUUCGUCGGGGAAGAAAAUGACUGUACCCGAAUAAGAAGGUCCGGCUAACUUCGUGCCAGCAGCCGCGGUAAUACGAAGGGACCUAGCGUAGUUCGGAAUUACUGGGCUUAAAGAGUUCGUAGGUGGUUGAAAAAGUUGGUGGUGAAAUCCCAGAGCUUAACUCUGGAACUGCCAUCAAAACUUUUCAGCUAGAGUAUGAUAGAGGAAAGCA
rnacentral:rRNA from 1 species